rnacentral:rRNA from 1 species
AUCAAGCUGUUGGGUGCCUAAUACAUGCAAGUCGAGCGAACGGACGAGAAGCUUGCUUCUCUGAUGUUAGCGGCGGGGGGUGAGUAACACGUGGAUAACCUACCUAUAAGACUGGGAUAACUUCGGGAAACCGGAGCUAAUACCGGAUAAUAUUUUGAACCGCAUGGUUCAAAAGUGAAAGACGGUCUUGCUGUCACUUAUAGAUGGAUCCGCGCUGCAUUAGCUAGUUGGUAAGGUAACGGCUUACCAAGGCAACGAUGCAUAGCCGACCUGAGAGGGUGAUCGGCCACACUGGAACUGAGACACGGUCCAGACUCCUACGGGAGGCAGCAGUAGGGAAUCUUCCGCAAUGGGCGAAAGCCUGACGGAGCAACGCCGCGUGAGUGAUGAAGGUCUUCGGAUCGUAAAACUCUGUUAUUAGGGAAGAACAUAUGUGUAAGUAACUGUGCACAUCUUGACGGUACCUAAUCAGAAAGCCACGGCUAACUACGUGCCAGCAGCCGCGGUAAUACGUAGGUGGCAAGCGUUAUCCGGAAUUAUUGGGCGUAAAGCGCGCGUAGGCGGUUUUUUAAGUCUGAUGUGAAAGCCCACGGUUCAACCGUGGAGGGUCAUUGGAAACUGGAAAACUUGAGUGCAGAAGAGGAACAGUGGAAUUCCAUGUGUACGGUGAAAUGCGCAGAGAUAUGGAGGAAACCAGUGGCGAAGGCGAUUUCCUGGUCUGUAAUGACGCUGAUGUGCGAAAGCGUGGGAUCAAACAGGA